rnacentral:lncRNA from 1 species
GAAAGGUCUAGGUAUAGUGAUUGGCACAAGUGCAAGUUGUGCCCACUAUUUUCAUGGUGUUAGAGUAUCUGUCUUUCCAUUUUGUUGCAUGUUAGCACUUUCACAAAUGCCUAAGGGAUAGACCUACCUUUUUUGAGUGUUUACUCUGUGCCAGGAGCUUUAUAUGUACUCUUGCUUUUAUUUCUUACACCACCAUCACCUUGAAGGAAUGAUCAUUUCUCCAUGUUACAGAGGAGAAUACUGUGGUAGGUGUCAUCUCAAAGUCAUGCAGCUAAUAGGCAAAUGGCAGCUGUGGGCUUAGAACCAAGAUCCACCUGCCUGGAGAGGCUGCAUAUAACAUCCCUGUGGGAUAAGAGGGAAGCUGUGGUAAUUUUCUUCAGAUCUUUUAUUUCUUUCAUGUCUUGUCUAGCCAGCGUGCCCAAGAGGCUUCUGGAAGCUCAGGGUUGUAUGGCUGUUCAACUCAGGUGGGAGAGGGGAGCUGUUGAUGCUACACAGUUGACUGGGGAACUCUCUAGAAGAUCAUUGGUACAGACUCUGCAGACACAGGAUUUGUCCUGGAGGAGGGUCGAGUGGGAAUGGGCCUGGCUGACUGAAGAGCUCACAGGCUGGGAUGAGGGUCUGUAGGCUUGAGCAGAAUUUGAAGGUCAUCUAAUUCAGUGGUUUUGAAGCUUUUUACCACAAAUAACUGCUGGCAUUAAUGUUGCCCAGGGACACUCUAUUAAAGUUUUAAAGAAAUAAUUUCGUUUUCUGAUUUUUGUUGAUUAGAGAUACAAUAGAUGGCUACUAAAUAGAGCUUUGAUCAGCAUGGGACAUGGGACAAAGUAGAUAUGACUCCAGCCAGACAGAGCAAAGACCUGGAAGGAGUAGCCUGGAAUAGCCAUGUGAGGAGCCAUCUUAAAUAUGAUUUCUACAGCCCCAGUCAAGUCUUCAAGUGGUUGUAGCUCUGGCUUGUCAUUUUCAAUGCAAUGUCAUUAAAGAUCCUGAGACGGAACUACUAGUCGUCAUUCUCAGAUUCCUGAC